rnacentral:tRNA from 1 species
CAAGAGCUUAUUUCACUCCCUACUA